ACAUCCUCCUCCUCCUCCUCCUCCUCCUCCCCCUCCCUCCUCCACCUCGAGCGGGCGCGAGUUCGCGAAUCGACUUGCAUAACGGCAACGUAGUAGCACGAUAAAAAACGCGGCUUCGAGCGGGACUUAUUUUUAGUUGGGCCACCGGUCGUUCGUCUUCGACCGUUUCUUCGAGUGUUGUUGGCGAGCGAGAUGAAUUCUGCCGAGCCGCUCAAGUAGGAAAAUAAACGGCGCGACCUCGUACGCUUCGCGACAACGUGUUGUCGACCCGCGAGAUUAGCGAUACCUCCGGGGAGGGAGGGAGGGAGGGAGAAAAGGAGAGAGAGAGGGAGAGGGGAGGGGGGGAGUUGAGCGAGUUUGCCAACGAUUUUGGCACGAAUCACAGUCGACACGCGUUCUUCUUGGGCGGCCUUUGCCUCGUUCGUCGGGGGCCCUCCUCCUUGCCCUGAGAAAAAGGGAGGCCGCCAUCGUACGUCUUCUCGUCUUCUCGCCGCUUGGCACCGUUUCGUCGAAACACGAUCG